GACGAACGCUGGCGGCGUGCUUAACACAUGCAAGUCGAACGGAAAGGCCCCUUUGGGGGUACUCGAGUGGCGAACGGGUGAGUAACACGUGAAUAACCUGCCCUUGACUUCGGGAUAACUUCAGGAAACUGGGGCUAAUACCGGAUAGGAAUCCUUGCUGCAUGGUGGGGGUUGGAAAGCUUCGGCGGUUUUGGAUGGACUCGCGGCUUAUCAGCUUGUUGGUGGGGUAGUGGCUUACCAAGGCUUUGACGGGUAGCCGGCCUGAGAGGGCGACCGGCCACAUUGGGACUGAGAUACGGCCCAGACUCCUACGGGAGGCAGCAGUGGGGAAUAUUGCACAAUGGGCGGAAGCCUGAUGCAGCAACGCCGCGUGCGGGAUGACGGCCUUCGGGUUGGAAACCGCUUUCAGCAGGGGCGAAGCUUGUGGUGACGGUACCUGCAGAAGAAGCACCGGCUAACUACGUG
rnacentral:rRNA from 1 species